UCAACUACAGUAGAAUGUGGACUGACAACAUAUAAAAUAAAUAAGAGAAAGUUUGUCAAAUUAUUUCCCAACAAGACAUAUUAAAAAUCUCUGUAUUCAGUGUCCAUCUUACACUUCUAGAUCCCAUCAUAUG